UCUGGGACAAGCCCUGGAAACGGGGUCUAAUACCGGAUAACACUCUGUCCCGCAUGGGACGGGGUUGAAAGCUCCGGCGGUGAAGGAUGAGCCCGCGGCCUAUCAGCUUGUUGGUGGGGUGAUGGCCUACCAAGGCGACGACGGGUAGCCGGCCUGAGAGGGCGACCGGCCACACUGGGACUGAGACACGGCCCAGACUCCUACGGGAGGCAGCAGUGGGGAAUAUUGCACAAUGGGCGAAAGCCUGAUGCAGCGACGCCGCGUGAGGGAUGACGGCCUUCGGGUUGUAAACCUCUUUCAGCAGGGAAGAAGCGAGAGUGACGGUACCUGCAGAAGAAGCGCCGGCUAACUACGUGCCAGCAGCCGCGGUAAUACGUAGGGCGCAAGCGUUGUCCGGAAUUAUUGGGCGUAAAGAGCUCGUAGGCGGCUUGUUGCGUCGGUUGUGAGAGCCCGGGGCUUAACCCCGGGUCUGCAGUCGAUACGGGCAGGCUAGAGUGUGGUAUGGGA
rnacentral:rRNA from 1 species